rnacentral:rRNA from 1 species
AAACCAGCACCUCAAGUGGUCAGGAUGAUUAUUGGGCCUAAAGCAUCCGUAGCCUGUUCUGUAAGUUUUCGGUUAAAUCCAUUAGCUCAACUAAUGGGCUGCCGAAAAUACUGUAGAACUAGGGAGUGGGAGAGGUAGACGGUAUUCGGUAGGAAGGGGUAAAAUCCUUUGAUCUAUUGAGGACCACCUGUGGCGAAGGCGGUCUACCAGAACACGUUCGACGGUGAGGGAUGAAAGCUGGGGGAGCAAACCGGAUUAGAAACCCCGGUAGUCC